UAGGGAAUAUUAGAAAUGGACGAAAGUCUGAUCUAGCAACACCGCGUGUGCGAAGAAGGCCUUCGGGUCGUAAAGCACUUUUUGGAAGGAAUAGGAAGGUAUGUACUUCCAGAAUAAGUCUCGGCUAACUACGUGCCAGCAGCCGCGGUAACACGUAGGAGGCGAACGUUAUCCGGAUUUACUGGGCGUAAAGCGCGUGUAGGUGGUUCUGUAAGUAGGGCGUGAAAGCUCCUGGCUCAACUGGGAGAGGCCGUUCUAAACUACAGAACUAGAGGAUGGUAGAGGGAGGUGGAAUUCCAGGUGUAGCGGUGGAAUGCGCAGAUAUCUGGAGGAACACCAGUGGCGAAGGCGGCCUCCUGGACCAUUCCUGACACUCAGACGCGAAAGCUAGGGUAGCAAACGG
rnacentral:rRNA from 1 species